rnacentral:rRNA from 1 species
UACGUAGGGUGCGAGCGUUAAUCGGAAUUACUGGGCGUAAAGCGUGCGCAGGCGGUCUGUUAAGACCGAUGUGAAAUCCCCGGGCUUAACCUGGGAACUGCAUUGGUGACUGGCGAGGCUUUGAGUGUGGCAGAGGGAGGUAGAAUUCCACGGUGUAGCAGUGAAAUGCGUAGAGAUGUGGAGGAAUACCGAUGGCGAAGGCAGCCUCCUGGGCCAACACUGACGCUCAUGCACGAAAGCGUGGGGAGCAAACAGG